rnacentral:rRNA from 1 species
UUGAACGCUGGCGGAAUGCUUUACACAUGCAAGUCGAGCGGCAGCGCGGGGGCAACCCUGGCGGCGAGCGGCGAACGGGUGAGUAAUGUAUCGGAACGUACCUCGUCGUGGGGGAUAACGCAGCGAAAGUUGUGCUAAUACCGCAUACGUCCUGAGGGAGAAAGCGGGGGACCGUAAGGCCUCGCGCGAUGAGAGCGGCCGAUAUCUGAUUAGCUAGUUGGUGGGGUAAAGGCUCACCAAGGCGACGAUCAGUAGCUGGUCUGAGAGGACGACCAGCCACACUGGGACUGAGACACGGCCCAGACUCCUACGGGAGGCAGCAGUGGGGAAUUUUGGACAAUGGGGGCAACCCUGAUCCAGCCAUUCCGCGUGAGUGAAGAAGGCCUUCGGGUUGUAAAGCUCUUUCGGUGGGAACGAAACGGUACAGGCGAAUAACCUGUGCUAAUGACGGUACCCAAAGAAGAAGCACCGGCUAACUACGU